rnacentral:rRNA from 1 species
GUUUGAUCAUGGCUCAGAACGAACGUUGGCGGCGUGCCUAAUACAUGCAAGUCGAGCGAGAAACGGGUAGCAAUACCCGGAGUACAGCGGCGAAAGGGUGCGUAUGACAUGAAGAACGUACCCCUCCGUUCGGAAUAACCCAGCGAAAGCUGGGCUAAUACCGGAUACGGCCGCGGCGAUGCCUGUCGCUGCGGUGAAAGUCGCAAGACGCGGAUGGAGCGCUUCAUGGCCUAUCAGCUAGUUGGCGGGGUAACGGCCCACCAAGGCGAUGACGGGUAGCCGGACUGAGAGGUCGACCGGCCACACGGGGACUGGGGGGGGGGCCCCGACAUCUACGGAUGGCAGCGGGAGGGAAUAUUGCGCAAUGGGCGAAAGCCUGACGCAGCGACGCCGCGUGGGGGAUGAAGGCCUUCGGGUUGUAAACCCCUUUCAUGUGGGAAGAACACUGACUUAACCACAGGAAGAAGCACCGGCUAACUCCGUGCCAGCAGCUGCGGUAAGACGGAGAGUGCAAACGUUGUUCGGAUUUACUGGGCGUAGAGGGCACGUAGGCGGCCAGGCAAAUCAGUUGUGGAAUCCCGACGCCUACCGUCGGAACGGCAAUUGAAAAUACCUGGCUCGAGGGCAUGAGGGGUCGCGGGAACUCCUGGUGGAGCGGUGAAAUGCGUACAUAUCACGAGGAACGCCGGAGGCGAAAGCCGCGCGACUGGCAUGUUCCCUGAAGCUGAUGUGCAAAAGCCCGGGGGACCAAACAGAAUUAGAUACCCUGUUAGUCCCGGCUGUAAACGAUGGACACUGAAUGGAGGUGGGUUCACCUAUCUCUGUUGCAGCUAACGCGUUAAGUGUCCCGCCUGGGGAGUACGGCCGCAAGGUUAAAACUCAAAGGAAUUGACGGGGGCUCGCACAAGCGGUGGAGCAUGUGGUUCAAUUCGAUGCAACGCGAAGAACCUUACCCGGGCUUGAAGUGGAGGUGGUAGGAGCCGGAAACGGCAACGACCCCGAAAGGGGAGCCUUCAUCAGGUGUUGCAUGGCUGUCGUCAGCUCGUGUCGUGAGAUGUUAGCUUAAGUGCUGUAACGAGCGAAACCCUUGCUGUUAGUUGCAAACCCGAAAGGGUGCACUCUAGCAGGACUGCCCGUGCUGAAUGGGAGGAAGGCGGGGACGACGUCAAGUCAUCAUGGCCCUUAUGUCCGGGGCAACACACGUGCUACAAUGGCCGGUACAAAGGGUUGCCAACGCGCGAGCGGGAGCCAAUCUCAAAAAACCGGCCUCAGUACGGAUCGGAGGCUGCAACUCGCCUCCGUGAAGCUGGAAUCGCUAGUAAUCGCGGAUCAGCCACGCCGCGGUGAAUAUGUUCCCGAGCCUUGUACACACCGCCCGUCAAGCCACCCAAGCACGGAGUACCUGAAGCCCGUGGCCCAACCGCAAGGAGGGCGCGGUCCAAGGUAAGACGUGUGAGGAGGGCUAAGUCGUAACAAGGUAACC